rnacentral:lncRNA from 1 species
ACGCAUGCGUGCAGGAUCCCUGGGCAUAGUCGCUUGUUCUCCGCCCGCGGUGGACCAGCUGCGUAACGGUUCACACACUGAUGGCGCCUGGAGGUUUGGCGAAAUACUGACAGGAUGCGACGUCAACGGGAGCGCAGGGCCAAGAUACCCUUUAUAUCAAACCGUCUAUCCUGGAGCAGAAAAAUCCUGUCUUCAUUGCUAUAGCUACAGAUUCAGAAAUGAGCAUGUAACAAAUUCAGGCCAAAGAGAGGCAAUGGAAAUCAGAGAAACACUGUUCCUGAAAGCUUCUGUCACUCAAGAAUCCAUGAAACAUUCAUGAACUUCACAUCAGAAGCCAAGCCCAGAAAAUAUGGGUUUAAGGUUUGCCUAUAUGUCCAAUACAAGAGAAAAAAGAACAUUCCACUUCUUUAGAAGGUUCUACUUUGAUCUCCUGAUUCCAGUUGUGAAAAAAAAUUGUGCCUAAAGAAUAUAGUCCCUUUAUAGAAUUGUUUUGAAACCUACCACAGGUAUUUCUACACAGGUGCUAUUGUGGAGGUGCAUACCCAACAGUUUGAUAAUGUAGAGGAAGUGAUAGCUUUGUCUCGUGGAAUCUGGGUCGACCUCACAGAGGAGCUGUUAUUUGUUCUGGAUAUUGAACAGUGACAAGGAUUCAGUGGGAGAGAAAGAGGCGAGGAUUUUAAUGCAACUUGUUACACAAGAUGAACCCAAACAUAUUUGACUUUUUAUUUUCAGAAAAGCUUAAUACAUAGUUUUGAAUAUGGAUUGUCCCACAGGAUAAAUGCAUGAAAAAAGUUGGAAAAGAGAAAUUGAAUUACAUCCUAAUUGUAGUGUUUUCUCAGGCAGAUCAAUUUUAGAAAGAGAACAUUGACUUGGAAAACUGAAGAGUAAUUAUUCUAAAACGGUUGUAACAGUUUACUCCUUUUAUGUUUGCAAACUUCCAGGAUUAGUGAGUUGCAUAAAGUCACAUAAUUUAUUGCGUUGGUGCAAAAGUAAUUGUGGUUUUUGCCAUUAACAAAACCGCAAUUACUUUUGCAUCAGCCUAAUAUAAGUGAAUAAAUUAAUAUUAGAACACAGGUCUAAUUAAAAGGUUCUGCUGUGUUGUGUCCUGUGAUAACACAGAAAACAAACAAAUGGAUAAUUACAGAAAAAUUUUGGAUAUAAAAUUAGCAGGUAAUUUUCUCCCUCCUUUCCUUCCAUCUUUCCAUCCUUCUUUGCUUCCUUUGCUUUCUUCUUUUCCUUUGUUUUUUGUUUCUCUCUCUCUCUUUUUUUUUUUUUUUUUUUUUUUUUGCAAUUUGGAGAAGGAAGUACUUUAAAAGAAAAGUUAAAAGGCAGACAUAGAUAGCAUGAAGCCUAAUUGCAAGAUCUUUUUCAAACAUAUUAGUUUUAGGAAAUAGCACCUGAAUUUAAGUCCCUUAAAAUUGUCUAUGUCUUCACGUCCAAGUCUCUAUAUUUGCAGGGCUGUGUACAAUCUAGACUGAACAUGCUUGACCUAAAAACAGAAGUAAUACCUGGGGCAAAGCACGAUGUGCACCACAGUCUUCUCUCUUUAGUGUGUUAAGAUAAAGUUGAUUCCCAGAGUAGCCUGCCAUCACUAACUCUGAGGGAUGGUGGGCUAAUUUUGAUAGAAGGAGCAGAGGUGGUAGUUAGGAGGAAGGUGACUCAUCAUCAUUGUAUCAGCAGGCAUUGAUGACUGGAAAUAUCAGGGGGCACAGCCUGAAAGAGAAUGGCUUAAUUGGAAUUGAUAGUGGGAACUUGGAAAUCAAUACAUAUGCACUGAACAGAAAAUGGUAUGCUAUAAUCUACUAUACACUGUAUGUGAAACCCAAGCUCCAAAUUUUUCGGCCCAUGCAAUGUCCAGUAAAAUUUCUCUUAGUUACAUUAUAAUUGCAAUGUACAUGUAUUUGAGGAAAAAAAAAGUGAAAGAAAAAGUAACUAAAGAAAAGUGGAAAUGCAAAACUUUGUUUUUAUUAAUGUUAAAAUUUAUUUUGAUCAACUUGCUAUUCUUAAAAUUGACCAAUCUUCUUCCCUUCCUUGCCUCUUCCAUGGUUUAUAGGAUUAUUUUUCAGGGCUGAUCAGUUGGUGUUACAUGUGACUACUAUGCUUAAUGCUAUCUGGCUUCUAACUUUAAGCACUGAAAAAAAGUCCUUCGUAUUUCUCAGUGUGUGAUUGAACUGAGAUGACCAUCCUAAGCCUCCUCAUUACAUAAAUCCUUACCUUCUCCAGAAGCAACGAAUGGUGUUGAGAAUAGCAUAUGUUACUACUCAGCCAUAUUCCAUAGCCUUUUCUCCAAGAUAUUUUUCCAAAGUUGCCCCUUUUCUGAAUCCCUUGCAAGCAAACAAACAACAAAACAAUGGGUAAUAAAAUAAUUGUUUAACUUUCAUUUAUAUGCUCUGAGAUUGAUGUGAUUUUGAUAAAUAACUAUAUUAAAAGACAAAUGGGAGUGGUGAUUUUGUGAAAAGCCCAUGCCUCUGCCCAUGGAAUAUGUGGCUUGGCCUGGAGCUCUUAUUUUACUUAUAUAUUUCUAAGCAGAAUUAUUCAAGAAUGUCUCUUAUUACAGGUCUUGAAACUUGGACAGCCAACAGAAAGGAAGCUAAUAAAUAAAUUUGUCAGAACACGAUUCUCAGUUUCACUUAUUUUGAAUUAAAGGUAACCUGGAAAAUGGAUUAGGAAAACAGCCUAUAAUCAGAGGAGUGACCCCAGUGAGACCCUGUCAUUAAAACUUUAGUGUUGAGCCUGCAAACCUCUGUUCCUCUGAUUAGGCAAUUUACUCCAUUUCCACCUUUCUGUCUGCCAAAACAUUUAGUGGCAAAACAUUUUCUAAUUCUCUAGACUCAUAAAAUGUUGUUUUGAAAAAAAGUAAAACAGAAUGGAUUACCUUUUUAAGCUGUCUAUCAUAAUGUAAUCAGAAAACAUGAGGGAUUAAUAGAUAAUAUUGUAAAGAGGCAAAGGCAGCAGAUGUUAUUUAGAUGAGCAGAAGGUCACAGACCUCUGUUGAGGAUUGAAAGCUUGAGGUACGUGCCUUUGUUCCUCAGUGUGUGUGGAUCAGAGUGAUUACUGAUAUCAGUUAGCAACAUGGUGGAGGGGACAAACUGGGGCUGCAUUUUCACUAUGUUUAUUAUUGCUCAAGGUCAAAAAGUGACUGUGUAGUGCCUCAGUUUUUACAUCUUUGUGUUAUCAAUAUUUUUUUCUAUUACCUUACAAGUUUAUUUUGAUGCUGUAAUGAUGAGACAGUGUUUUGAAAAGUUCUAAAUAAAUAAAAGGGUAUUCUCUAACUUUUAAAAAAAAAAAAAAAAAA